AGCAGCCGCGGUAAUUCCAGCUCCAAUAGCGUAUAUUAAAGUUGUUGCAGUUAAAAAGCUCGUAGUUGAAUUUCGGGAUCAAGGAAUCGGUCAUGCCUUGGUAUGUACUGGUUUUAUUGGUUCUCACCUUCUAAAGAACCAUAAUGUCAUUUAUUUGAUGUUAUGGGGAAUUAGGACUGUUACCUUGAAAAAAUUAGAGUGUUUAAAGCAAGCUUACGCUUGAAUACAUUAGCAUGGAAUAAUGAAAUAGGACAUCAGAUUCUAUUUUGUUGGUUUCUAGGAUCGAUGUAAUGAUUAAUAGGGAUAGUUGGGGGCAUUAGUAUUCAAUUGUCAGAGGUGAAAUUCUUGGAUUUAUUGAAGACUAACUACUGCGAAAGCAUUUGCCAAGGAUGUUUUCAUUAAUCAAGAACGAAAGUUAGGGGAUCGAAGACGAUCAGAUACCGUCGUAGUCUUAACCAUAAACUAUGCCGACUAGGGAUCGGAU
rnacentral:rRNA from 1 species